GAUGAACGCUGGCGGCGUGCCUAACACAUGCAAGUCGAGCGAUCUUCUUCGGAAGAGAGCGGCGGACGGGUGAGUAACGCGUGGGUAACCUGCCCUGUACACACGGAUAACAUACCGAAAGGUAUGCUAAUACGAGAUAACAUACUUUUAUCGCAUGGUAGAAGUAUCAAAGCUCCGGCGGUACAGGAUGGACCCGCGUCUGAUUAGCUAGUUGGUAAGGUAACGGCUUACCAAGGCGACGAUCAGUAGCCGACCUGAGAGGGUGAUCGGCCACAUGGGACCUGAGACACGGUCCAAACUCCUACGGGAGGCAGCAGUGGGGAAUAUUGCACAAUGGGCGAAAGCCUGAUGCAGCAACGCCGCGUGAGCGAUGAAGGCCUUCGGGUCGUAAAGCUCUGUCCUCAAGGAAGAUAAUGACGGUACUUGAGGAGGAAGCCCCGGCUAACUACGUGCCAGCAGCCGCCGUAAGAC
rnacentral:rRNA from 1 species